rnacentral:rRNA from 1 species
GCAUAUCAAUAAGCGGAGGAAAAGAAACCAACAGGGAUUGCCCUAGUAACGGCGAGUGAAGCGGCAACAGCUCAAAUUUGAAAUCUGGCCCCUUUGGGGUCCGAGUUGUAAUUUGCAGAGGGUGCUUUGGCGUUGGCGGCGGUCUAAGUUCCUUGGAACAGGACAUCGCAGAGGGUGAGAAUCCCGUAUGUGGUCGCAUGCCUUCGCCGUGUAAAGCCCCUUCGACGAGUCGAGUUGUUUGGGAAUGCAGCUCUAAAUGGGAGGUAAAUUUCUUCUAAAGCUAAAUACCGGCCAGAGACCGAUAGCGCACAAGUAGAGUGAUCGAAAGAUGAAAAGCACUUUGGAAAGAGAGUCAAACAGCACGUGAAAUUGUUGAAAGGGAAGCGCUUGCAGCCAGACUUGCCUGUAGUUGCUCACCCGGGCUCCUGCCCGGGGCACUCUUCUGCAGGCAGGCCAGCAUCAGUUUGGGCGGUCGGAUAAAGGGCUCUGACACGUACUUCCCCUCGGGGUUGACAUACAGGGGAGCCGCAAUGCGACCAGCCCGGACUGAGGUCCGCGCAUCUGCUAGGAUGCUGACGUAAUGGCUUAAACGAC